ACGCUAGCGAUAGGCUUAACACAUGCAAGUCGAGGGGCAGCAUUAUUUUAGCUUGCUAAGAUAGAUGGCGACCGGCGCACGGGUGCGUAACGCGUAUGCAACCUGCCUGUAAUUAGGGAAUAACCCGGUGAAAGUCGGACUAAUACCCUAUAUUCUUCUUUCUCCGCAUGGAGGAGGACGGAAAGAUUUAUUGAUUACAGAUGGGCAUGCGUCCCAUUAGCUAGUUGGUAAGGUAACGGCUUACCAAGGCAACGAUGGGUAGGGGGACUGAGAGGUUGACCCCCCACACUGGUACUGAGACACGGACCAGACUCGUACGGGAGGCAGCAGUGAGGAAUAUUGGUCAAUGGGCGAGAGCCUGAACCAGCCAAGUCGCGUGAAGGACGACGGUUCUAUGGAUUGUAAACUUCUUUUGUAGAGGAAUAACGGCAGCUACGUGUAGCUGAGAUGCAUGUACUCUACGAAUAAGUAUCGGCUAACUCCGUGCCAGCAGCCGCGGUAAUACGGAGGAUACGAGCGUUAUCCGGAAUUAUUGGGUUUAAAGGGUGCGUAGGUGGCGUAUUAAGUCAGUGGUGAAAAGCUGCAGCUCAACUGUAGUCUUGCCGUUGAAACUGAUAUGCUAGAGAGGAGACGAGGUAUGCGGAAUGUGUGGUGUAGCGGUGAAAUGCAUAGAUAUCACACAGAACGCCGAUUGCGAAGGCAGCGUACCAGGCUCCGUCUGACACUGAAGCACGAAAGCGUGGGGAUCAAACAGGAUUAGAUACCCUGGUAGUCCACGCAGUAAACGAUGAAUACUAGAUUUUUGCGAUAUACUGUAAGAGUCUAAGCGAAAGCGAUAAGUAUUCCACCUGGGGAGUACGCCGGCAACGGUGAAACUCAAAGGAAUUGACGGGGGCCCGCACAAGCGGAGGACAUGUGGUUUAAUUCGAUGAUACGCGAGGAACCUUA
rnacentral:rRNA from 1 species